CCAGGGCUUCUCUGCAGUCCCGGCCCUGGUUAGGAAGCCCUAAAUCCUCUGGGUCUUCAGUGAGGCAUGCUGGAAUCUCCAAAGAGCAACACUCCUAACAAAACCUAAAGGAAGGUCUCAGUGUACUGUUAUCAUGAUCAUUCCAGGUGCCAAGAUGCCCAGCACCCCAGCAGCAAGCCCUCUGGAUGCACUUACCCUGGUCUGCUCGUGAAGGCAACUGAGGCGCCACAGAGGGAUUCCUGCUUUCAGCCUAAGGGCAAUAUUGCAGCACCAGGCCUGAUGAGUCUUAUCCCUCCCAUGGAGCCAAUCUAAGG
rnacentral:lncRNA from 1 species